UACGGAGGAUGCAAGCGUUAUCCGGAAUUAUUGGGCGUAAAGCGUCCGCAGGUGGUUUUGUAAGUUUGCUGUCAAAGCGUCUAGCUCAACUAGAUACAGGCAGUGAAAACUACAAGACUAGAGUUUGGUAGGGGUCACGGGAAUUCCCAGUGUAGCGGUGAAAUGCGUAGAGAUUGGGAAGAACACCAGCGGCGAAAGCGCGUGACUGGGCCUGAACUGACACUCAUGGACGAAAGCUAGGGGAGCGAAAGGG
rnacentral:rRNA from 1 species